rnacentral:rRNA from 1 species
GAUGAACGCUGGCGGCAUGCCUAACACAUGCAAGUCGAACGGGAAGACGUGUUUCCAGUGCCGAUCGGGUUAGUGACGCGUGAGAACCUGCCCUUGGGAUGGGAACAACAACUGGAAAGGGUUGCUAAUACCCCGUAGGCUGAGGAGCAAAAGAUGAAAUCCGCCAGAGGAGGGGCUCGCGUCUGAUUAACUAGUUGGUGAGGUAAUAGCUUACCAAGGCGAUGAUCAGUAGAUGGUGGGACAGGAUCAUCAGCCACACUGGGACGGAGGCAAGCAGUAGAGACCUUCGGGAGACAGCAGUAGGCAAGUUUCAGCAAUGCGGGAAAGCCGAACAAGGCAAUGGGGCGGGGAAGCGGAAUUCUUAGGGGACGACAACUGCGUUUCUCGGAGAAGAAACAAUGACGGUAUCUGAGGAAUAAGCAUCGGCUAACUCCGUG